rnacentral:rRNA from 1 species
GAUCUGGCUCAGGAUGAACGCUAGCUACAGGCUUAACACAUGCAAGUCGAGGGGCAUCAGGAAGAAAGCUUGCUUUCUUUGCUGGCGACCGGCGCACGGGUGAGUAACACGUAUCCAACCUGCCCUUUACUCGGGGAUAGCCUUUCGAAAGAAAGAUUAAUACCCGAUAGCAUAAUGAUUCCGCAUGGUUUCAUUAUUAAAGGAUUCCGGUAAAGGAUGGGGAUGCGUUCCAUUAGGUUGUUGGUGAGGUAACCGG